UACGUAGGCGGAAAAUUAAGUCAGUAGUGAAAUCCUGCAGCUUAACUGUAGAACUGUUAUUGAUACUGGUUUUCUUGAAUAUAGUUGAGGUAGGCGGAAUGCGUAAUGUAGCGGUGAAAUGCUUAGAUAUUACACAGAACACCGAUUGCGAAGGCAGCUUACUAAGCUAUGAUUGACGCUGAGGUACGAAAGCGUGGGGAGCGAACAGGAUUAGAUACCCUGGUAGUCC
rnacentral:rRNA from 1 species